CUCUCUCUCUCUCUCAUCCUAAAAAAAAACUCUCUCCCCACAACCCACUCCACCGGCACCUGUUCCUCGGUCCACUCCACCCCAGCUCCUCUCCCCACGAUCUCCUCGCCACGGCCCCCACCCAUGCCGGCCGGUUCCGGCGAGCACCGGCCGCGUGUAAUGCUCCCCUAACCCCACCGCCGGCGCCCCCCACCUCACCAGCAGCCGCUGCCUCUCUCAGCUCCUGAAGCCCUAGCUCAGGCCGCCGCGACCCACCCGCUGCUUCCCGCGUUCACGCGCGAGAUCCGUGUCCUGCGUUCACGGCCUAGCAGGCGUCCAUGCGCGGAUCCUCCUCCUCAUCAUGCUCUUGUGCCGGCCCCGAACCCUAGCUUCAAAUCGCCAUGCCCAAGUACUCAUCGGCCUCGGGCCCAAGUGCUCUGCAAGUCUGCAGAAAUCUGCUGCUGUGAGAGGACGACGACGAGGCGAGUGGCUGCUCCGACCCUGGUACUGACCACACGAUAGAAGGUAGAAGAUGGCGACAGAGUGCUGCAGGAUAAUGAGAUGUUGAAGCGGCACACUGAAUCCAUGACACCGAAGUGCAAUUUUGGCAGAUUAUCUCUAUCUUUUCUUUUCAUUUUUCUUAUUAUUGAGUGUGAACGGAAUGAGGAGCUAUGUGAUAGUACGCACAACAACUGUAGUAAAAAUAAACUUAUGUUUGCAAUUGUUAA